rnacentral:misc_RNA from 1 species
GAUGAAGAACGUAGCGAAAUGCGAUACGUAAUGUGAAUUGCAAAUUCAGUGAAUCAUCGAGUCUUUGAACGCACAUUGCGCCCCCUGGUAUUCCGGGGGGCAUGCCUGUCCGAGCGUCAUUGCUGCCCUCAAGCACGGCUUGUGUGUUGGGCCCCGUCCUCCGAUCCCGGGGGACGGGCCCGAAAGGCAGCGGCGGCACCGCGUCCGGUCCUCGAGCGUAUGGGGCUUUGUCACCCGCUCUGUAGGCCCGGCCGGCGCUUGCCGAUCAACCCAAAUUUUUUAUCCAGGUUGACCCCGGAUCAGGUAGGGAUACCCGCUGAACUUAAGCAUAUCAAUAAGCGGAGGA